rnacentral:rRNA from 1 species
GACGAAGGAUGCAAGCGUUAUCCGGAUUCAUUGGGCGUAAAGCGCGUGUAGGCGGCCCGGUAAGUCCGCUGUGAAAGUCGGGGGCUCAACCCUCGAAUGCCGGUGGAUACUGUCGGGCUAGAGUGCGGAAGAGGCGAGUGGAAUUCCUGGUGUAGCGGUGAAAUGCGCAGAUAUCAGGAGGAACACCUAUGGCGAAGGCAGCUCGCUGGGACGGUACUGACGCUGAGACGCGAAAGCGUGGGGAGCGAACAGG